rnacentral:rRNA from 1 species
GUGUCAGCCGCCGCGGUAAUACAGAGGUCCCGAGCGUUGUUCGGAUUCAUUGGGCGUAAAGGGUGCGUAGGCGGCGAGCUAAGUUUGGUGUGAAAUCCUGGGGCUUAACCUCAGAAUUGCACUGAAUACUGGUUUGCUAGAGGACUGGAGAGGAGAUUGGAAUUCACGGUGUAGCAGUGAAAUGCGUAGAUAUCGUGAGGAAGACCAGUGGCGAAAGCGAAUCUCUGGACAGAUCCUGACGCUGAUGCACGAAGGCUAGGGGAGCAAACGGGAUUAGAAACCCCCGUAGUCC